rnacentral:rRNA from 1 species
UGGGGAAUAUUGGACAAUGGGCGGAAGCCUGAUCCAGCAAUACCGCGUGUGUGAAGAAGGCCUUAGGGUUGUAAAGCACUUUCAAUAGGGAGGAAAAAGGUAAGCUUAAUACGUUUGCCCUUGACAUUACCUAUACAAGAAGCACCGGCUAACUCCGUGCCAGCAGCCGCGGUAAUACGGAGGGUGCAAGCGUUAAUCGGAAUUACUGGGCGUAAAGCGUGCGUAGGCGGCUUGUUAAGUCAGAUGUGAAAGCCCCGGGCUCAACCUGGGAACUGCAUUUGAAACUGGCAAGCUAGAGUUGGGUAGAGGGGAGUGGAAUUUCAGGUGUAGCGGUGAAAUGCGUAGAUAUCUGAAGGAACACCAGUGGCGAAGGCGACUCCCUGGACUCAAACUGACGCUGAGGCACGAAAGCGUGGGUAGCAAACAGGAUUAGAUACCCGUGUAGUCCCUGAGCGGGCUGGCAAGGCGCAU